GAUGAACGCUGGCGGCGUGCCUAAUACAUGCAAGUCGAGCGAAGCGGGGACGGGUGAGGAACACGUGGAUGCCCUCCUAUAGGACUGGCGUAACUUCGGGAGCCCGGAGCUAAACCGGUUACUUAUAGAUGGAUGCGCGCUGCAUUGGCUAGUUGGUAAGGUAACGGCUUACCAAGGCUACGAUGCAUAGCCGACCUGAGAGGGUGAUCGGCCACACUGGAACUGAGACACGGUCCAGACUCCUACGGGAGGCAGCAGUAGGGAAUCUUGCGCAAUGGGCGAAAGCCUGACGGAGCAACGCCGCGUGUGUGAUGAAGGUCUUCGGAUCGUAAAGCUCUGUUAUUUGGGAAGCGGUACCUAAACAGAAAGCACCGGCUAACUACGUGCCAGCAGCCGCGGUAAUAC
rnacentral:rRNA from 1 species